GUGAAAUACAAAUCGGACUAGGAUAUAGCUGGUUUUCUGCGAAAAUUGUUUUGGCAAAUUGUUUAUUCCUCUCAAAAAUAGUAGGUAUAGCACUGAAUAUCUCGAGGGAGUAUGAAAAUAUUUAUCUCAGAUAUUUAAUCUCAAAAUAACUAUUUCUUAAAAUAAAUAAUCAGACUAUGUGCGAUAAGGUAGAUAGUCGAAAGGGAAACAGCCCAGAACAGUAAUUAAAGCUCCCCAAUUAAUAUUAAGUGA
rnacentral:rRNA from 1 species